GGAAUUCUGUAUACCAAGCAAUAAAACUAAUCGCUUUUUUUCUGGAGGAAAGAAGAUUAGAGAUUAAUUAUCUCUGUGAUCUUGUUGAAAUUGAAUAUAUUAACGAUGAAGAGCAUACUUUUAUAAAAGAGUAUACAGAAGUUAUGCAAUAUGUUGCUGUUUCCCUUGAAAUUUUGGAAGGUGAGGAUAAUAUGGAGAUGGGGUAUUAUGUUCCCACUUUAAGUAUCCUAAAUACCAAAUUAAAGAGAUUGAAUAAUCUAAUCUUAUGCCAGCCCCUAGUAGACUCUCUGUUAAAAGGCAUUGAGAGAAGAUUUCCAAACUUAUAUAAUGAUGACAAUGUCUUAGCGGCAAUGGUUCAUCCAAAGUUUAAACUAAACUGGCCAUAUAUAAAUUCCGAUGAUGCCAAACAUCAACGCGAUAGGCUAAUGGCGAAGCUGAAUAAUCUUACUCCAACAAACAUAGAUUGCCGAGUAUCUACCACGAAGACAUCCUCAAAUAAUUUUUUUGAAAUUAAAGAUGAUUUAAUAGAAAAUCCAAUUGAUCUUUUUUUUCAAUCAAAAAAUAUUGAAAUGAAUAUUUUUGAUAAUUUUUCAUAUAUUAAAAAUUUAUAUAUAAAAUUAAAUACCCCCUUGCCCUCAAGUGCUAGU